rnacentral:tRNA from 1 species
GGCCCCGUAGCUCAGCUGGAUAGAGCGGCAGCCUUCUAAGCUGCAUGUCGCAGGUUCGAAUCCUGCCGGGGUCG